rnacentral:rRNA from 1 species
UACGUAGGGUGCAAGCGUUAAUCGGAAUUACUGGGCGUAAAGCGUGCGCAGGCGGUUUGUAAGACAGAGGUGAAAUCCCGGGCUCAACCUGGGAACUGCCUUUGUGACUGCAAGGCUUGAGUGCGGCAGAGGGUAGUGGAAUUCCCGGUGUAGCGGUGAAAUGCGUAGAUAUCGGAGGAACAUCAGUGGCGAAGGCGGCUACCUGGCCCAAUACUGACACUCAGGUGCGA